rnacentral:rRNA from 1 species
UACGUAGGUCCCGAGCGUUGUCCGGAUGUAUUGGGCGUAAAGCGAGCGCAGGUGGUUUAUUAAGUCUGGUGUAAAAGGCAGUGGCUCAACCAUUGUAUGCAUUGGAAACUGGUAGACUUGAGUGCAGGAGAGGAGAGUGGAUUUCCAUGUGUAGCGGUGAAAUGCGUAGAUAUAUGGAGGAACACCGGUGGCGAAAGCGGCUCUCUGGCCUGUAACUGACACUGAGGCUCGAAAGCGUGGGGAGCAAGCAGG